rnacentral:SRP_RNA from 2 species
GCUGGGCACGGUGGCGCGUGCCUGUAGUCCCAGCUACUGGAGGCUGAGGCAGGAGAAUCGCUUGAACCUGGGAGGUGGAGGUUGCAGUGAGCCGAGAUCGCGCCACUGCACUCCAGCCUGGCAAUAGAGCGAGACUCUGUCUCAA